rnacentral:tRNA from 1 species
GUGUACGUAGGCAAGCGGUCUAAGCCCUCAGCUUGUGGAGCUGAUCAUCGCGGGUUCAAAUCCCGUCGUACACCCCA